AACCCUAACCCUUUGCAAUUUCUCCCAAAUUCCACCCGACGCGUCUCCACGCGAUGCGAUCUUCUUCUCCAGUCCCAAAUCGCGCACGCGAUCUUCUUCUCCAAUCCCAAAUCGCGCAGGACUCCAAGGUAGGCACGACUCCAAGUUAAGGCGCACGCGAUCUUCUUCUCCUGUCCCAAAUCUCCACGGCUCAAAGGUAGGCGCGACUCCAACUUAAGGCGUACACGAUCUUCUUCCCCGAUCCCAAAUCACGCACGACUCCAAGGUACGCAAGGCUCCACCGAACGCGAUCUAUUUUUAGUUGUAGGUAGAUAUGAGAUUGAUCGCAUGGAGGUGAACCUAAGAAGGAAAGGGUCCUUCACGUCUUUGAGAGAGGAUCUGAGGGAGACGUUCUUGCCAAAGGAUCCAUUUCGGUACCGUCUGGCUGAGGCAGAGUGUCACCAGUCCUCGAGAUCUACGCUAAUGCUCAUGUACUUGGUAACCAUUCUGGAAUGGGGCCAAAAUAUAACCUUGCUAAGUUCCAAUGCGAUCUCCUCGUCGGCUUCACCAUCGCCAUCCUCGCUGUCCCACAAAGGCAUCAGCUACGCUCGCCUCGCCUACCUUCACCCCUUCAUCGGCCUCUAUUCGAAUUUCAUCCCACCGUUAAUCUAUGCGAUAUUUGGUAGCUCCACAAACGUGGCUAUGGGGGGCACCGCCGCCGUCUAGCUGUUUCUUGCUUCGAUCGGCUAUCGGAGCAAAAGUAUCGCCGGUUGACCACCCGGAGUUGGACACGCAUUUGCUCUUCACCGCCGCCUUCUUCACUGGACUCUUUCAAGCGGCGCUCGGCAUCUUCAGGCUGAGUGGUGGAGUUCUUCUCACAUUCGAUGAUCACUGGUUUCAUGGGAGGUACAACGGUCAUCUUCAUCAUGUAACAACUCAAAGGGAUGCUGGGAUUGAAAUAUUUCACCACAAACACUGAUCUCGUCUCUAUCAUUUGCUUUAUCAACUCCCACAGAGAUGAGUUUGAUACUUAAUUAAUUACUUGAAAAUUAAUUAUAAAUCAUCUGGGACUGCUUGCUAUUGCUGAUAAUUUAAAGUUUCAGUGAAGAUGGGAAAGUGCUGCUCAUGGGAGAUACUUGAUUACCAUUUUGCUCCUUGAUAGUCAUGUGGUUAUGAUAACAUAUGCUUCAUAUUCUUCAGCCAACAGUCAACAAAAGGUUGUGGUCCAAAUCUCAAUGGAGAUAAUAUAAAUUUAUACUGUUGAUUGUCUCAACAAACUUGGUUGGUUCAUUAAUCCGUAUGAAGUAAUUCAUCUCAUGGAGUUCGAGACAAGGGAGGGCAAAGGGAAAAAAUCAUAGACAUGCGUGCUACUAGCAAGAGGAUAGAUGAAGACAUUAUUGAAAGUAAAAAAGUGUUGAACUUCUUAUCACAAAAAAUAGAGAGAGGGAAGAAAAGUUUAUCUACUAAGGUAGGCAAAGUAAAGAAAAGGAGAAGGUUUGUAAAAUGAUUUAAGAGGUGAAAUAUUCAAAUCAUUAUAUCUAGGAGGAUAUGAUCCUUGUGAUCAUGAGCGUCGUAAUAGAAUGUAAAGAUUAGAUUACUUAAGGUGAGAUUUAAAAAUUUAUAUAUUUGAUUAGAUGAUGUAAAUAUUUACUUAUCCCAAUGUUAAUUUUAUGAUACUUUUGGAUUAGAAA